GACGAACGCUGGCGGCGUGCUUAACACAUGCAAGUCGAACGGAAAGGCCCUGCUUUUGUGGGGUGCUCGAGUGGCGAACGGGUGAGUAACACGUGAGUAACCUGCCCUUGACUUUGGGAUAACUUCAGGAAACUGGGGCUAAUAACGGAUAGGAGCUCCUGCUGCAUGGUGGGGGUUGGAAAGUUUCGGCGGUUGGGGAUGGACUCGCGGCUUAUCAGCUUGUUGGUGGGGGAGUGGCUAACCAAGGCUUUGACGGGUAGCCGGCCUGAGAGGGUGACCGGCCACAUUGGGACUGUGAUACGGCCCAGACUCCUACGGGAGGCAGCAGUGGGGAAGAUUGCCCAAUGGGCGGAUGCCUGAUGCAGCAACGCCGCGUGCGGGAUGGCGGCCUUCGUGUUGUAAACCGCUUUCGCCUGUGACGAAGCGUGAGUGACGGUAAUGGGUAAAGAAGCACCGGCUAACUACGUG
rnacentral:rRNA from 1 species